rnacentral:rRNA from 1 species
UACGUAGGGGGCAAGCGUUGUCCGGAAUCAUUGGGCGUAAAGAGCGUGUAGGCGGCUCGGUAAGUCCGCUGUGAAAGUCCAGGGCUCAACCCUGGAAUGCCGGUGGAAACUGUCGAGCUAGAGUCCGGAAGAGGCGAGUGGAAUUCCUGGUGUAGCGGUGAAAUGCGUAGAGAUGCGGAGGAACACCGGUGGCGAAGGCGGGUCUCUGGGCCGAUACUGACGCUGAGGAGCGAAAGCGUGGGGAGCGAACAGG